UUGCCAGACUCCUACGGGAGGCAGCAGUGGGGAAUAUUGCACAAUGGGGGAAACCCUGAUGCAGCGACGCCGCGUGAGUGAAGAAGUCAUUCGUUAUGUAAAGCUCUAUCAGCAGGGAAGAAAAUGACGGUACCUGAGUAAGAAGCCCCGGCUAACUACGUGCCAGCAGCCGCGGUAAUACGUAGGGGGCAAGCGUUAUCCGGAUUCACUGGGUGUAAAGGGAGCGUAGACGGCGACGCAAGUCUGGAGUGAAAGCCCGGGGCCCAACCCCGGGACUGCUCUGGAAACUGCGUCGCUGGAGUACGGGAGGGGCAGGCGGAAUUCCUGGUGUAGCGGUGAAAUGCGUAGAUAUCAGGAGGAACACCGGUGGCGAAGGCGGCCUGCUGGACUGCGACUGACGUUGAGGCCCGAAAGCGUGGGGAGCAAACAGGAUUAGAUACCCCAGUA
rnacentral:rRNA from 1 species